rnacentral:rRNA from 1 species
AUCGGGCGAGCCGGGCACUCUGGAGGGACGUGCCGGCGACAAGCCGGAGGAAGGUGGGGAUGACGUCAAGUCAUCAUGGCCCUUAUGUCCAGGGCGACACACGUGCUACAAUGGCCGGCACAGCGGGAAGCGGAGGGGCGACCCUGAGCGGAUCCCUUGAAAGCCGGUCCCAGUUCGGAUUGCAGUCUGCAACUCGACUGCAUGAAGUUGGAAUCGCUAGUAAUCGCGGAUCAGCCAAGCCGCGGUGAAUACGUUCCCGGGCCUU